GAACUUUUGGAUCGGAGAUAUGAAGACGCGCGCUGCAUUUUGCUUGGCGGAGACGCACAGUUCUGACACUAGACAAUAUUAUACACUCAAAGGGACCGCGUUUCGCCGGAAGAAUAAAUAAUUACAUCAUAAAGAUACUAGUAUUGUAUACUAGAUAAGUUUCAAUUAGCGGGAUGUAGAGAGAGAUGGAGAUGGAGCGAGAUGUUGACGGAUGAAGAUAGCUGUUUCUUCGACGACAGCGUGUGCUGCAGUACAGCUAGGUUUCACCGGAAGAGUCGAUGUUUAUGCAAAUGGUAUUCGUCAGUGAACAUUUUUAAACUGGGAAUAAUAUAUCAUAAGCAGAUUGAAAUGUGUGAACGUUUCAGUGUUUCGAAGACUAAGUUUCGUAGCAGAUUUUGAUUCCGUCACGGGAUCACACAUUGAACCGCUACCUCGAUGUUAUCACGACAUCGAUCCUAACCAGCUGCCGCCCUGUCUACGUACCUAAUAA